ensembl:lncRNA
GCCCCAGCUGUGUUUCCCUCCUGUUAUUCAUUCCCUGAUUGCUCCCUCUUUGUAUUUAAGCCCUGUGUUUCUCUGUGUCCGUGUCGUGAUCUACCGUUUAUUUUGCUGUGUGUUUUGCCAGUCCACCGGUGUUAGUUUAUUUUCAGUUUUUCCCAGUUAUGUUAUGUUUGCGUUCAGCAUUAAAGCUGUUUUGGUUUAAGUUUGUCUCCGGAGUCUGCACCUUGGGUCCUAUUCCUGUUUGCACACAGCCGUCACAUACCACAUUCAGUCUGUGGAAGACUGUAAGGCUGUAAGUGAUCUGAGGGUCUUCUGAAUCGCUCUUUGUCUGGUCCCUCACCCAGGACCAAUUUGCCAUGGGAGACCCUACCAGGGGUAAAAGCCCCCAGACAACAUAGCCCCUGGGAUCCCUGGGACACACAAACCCCUCCACCACGAUAAGGUAGCGAUUCAAGGAGGACCACUUAGUGAUUUUUGUCAUAACACAAACAAGUCGUCAAGUCAAGCAGUUGAGGAAAGGGCUUAAGGAAACCAUGGUAUGGCCGCUUCUGACAGAAAGAUCAGACAUCAUUCUUCUUUUCUUACCAAGGGAAUCAGAGACUGCUCCCUGUUGUGAGCAUCUUGUGCACAACAAAAAGCCCUCAUCAAGUUUUGGACAGGAUGGGAAGUCUUGCCGAGAAAUGACUGUGGAAGUGGUCAACAGCAGUCUUCCAAAGUCUUCCACCGGUUUUGCGUACUACGUCUUCCUGCACACUACUGUACCUAUGAGUCAUUUCUAAUGGACAUUCAGGUGUGUCUCAACUCUACUGACUCAGGUUUUGGUCUGGUUUACAAUUGAUUCCAUAACGACAUGGUAAAAUUAGACCAUUUCUUCUUUCUUGCAUCACAUUACUGUAUUCAGUGUUCAAAGAAACGGACAAUCUAGUGAGUUCUAGUUUUUUUUUUUUUUUUUUUUUUUUGUUUUUUUUUUUGUUUAAUACACUUGACAGUGAAAAAUACACAGUACAGGUGAGC